UCUAUACAUCUCACAUGUAUCCCUGCGCCUACGAUCCACUCCCAAAUCAUCCCUCUGUCUGUCCCUCUCAAACUCUUAUUAUUCACAACCCAAUUAGCUUUCAAUCUGCAGCCCAAAUUCUUCCACCUCCAAUCCCUUUCAACACUACAACAUCACAAACUGUUUUGAUGCGCAGAACCGGCAACGACAAACCAUAAUCAAGAAAAAGUUUUGCGCACCUCACUGCACGAAAGUAGCCAUCAAUCAAGAACACUAGCAGCUAAAGCAUGACAAUGACCACGUAAAUUGUUGUCCAAUGACGAGAGGUGAGGAGUGAGAGCUAAACCAUGUAUUUUCCUUCAAAUAUGCUUGUUCUUUCGGAGAAUCCUAUCACUGCCGUAAGGGCGGUGGGGGUGAUCCAUAUUCUGCUCGGGAGACGGGUGGCAAUGGGCCAGGGUAAUAGGGUGGCGGCGGUGGCAAUGCUGGUGUUGGACAGGCACAGGGCGGUGGUGGUGGGCAAGUUGGAUGAGGAUGCGGAUGCGGGGCAGGAGGGGGCGGUGAAUGGUGGUGGACAGGCGCGGGCGGCGGUGGUGAGUGGUGGUGGACUGGCGCAGGCGGCGGCGGUGAAUGGUGGUGGACCGGCGCAGGCGGUGGUGGUGAGUGGUGGACCGGCGCCGGCGGCGGAGGCGAUGGUGGAGGCGGCGAUGGGGGUGGAGGUGAGGGGGGCGGUGAUGGUGGGGGUGGAGAAGGUGGUGGUGGUGAUGGAGAAGGUGGUGGUGGAGAUGGCGAAGGCGGUGGAGGUGACGGCAGAGGCGGGGAUGGUGG
rnacentral:lncRNA from 1 species